rnacentral:rRNA from 1 species
GAGUUUUGAUCAUGGCUCAGGAUGAACGCUAGCUACAGGCUUAACACAUGCAAGUCGAGGGGAAACGACAUCGAAAGCUUGCUUUUGAUGGGCGUCGACCGGCGCACGGGUGAGUAACGCGUAUCCAACCUGCCCACCACUUGGGGAUAACCUUGCGAAAGUAAGACUAAUACCCAAUGACGUCUCUAGAAGACAUCUGAAGGAGAUUAAAGAUUUAUCGGUGAUGGAGUGGGGAUGCGUCUGAUUAGCUUGGUUGGCGGGGUAACGGCCACCAAGGCGACGAUCGAGGUAGGGGUUCUGGAGAGGAACGGUCCCCACAUUGGACUGAGACCACGGUCCAAACUCCGUACGGGAGGCA